rnacentral:rRNA from 1 species
UCGACCUGAGCUCAGGCAAGAUUACCCGCUGAACUUAAGCAUAUCAAUAAGCGGANGAAAAGAAACUAACCAGGAUUCCCCUAGUAACGGCGAGUGANCGGGGAAAAGCCCAGCUUGAAAUCUCCAGCCCCCGGCUGGCGAAUUGUA